CCACCACCUGAAGAAAUCAAUUUCAGCAAUUAACAACCAUCAAUUCAAUUAAAUUGAAAUUUAAUAGGAAUAACUCUAUAAUUUAUUGCCCCGAGUUAAUUCCAAUAAACACACUUUUCAUUCAAUUAAAUUGCAGAAUUCAAUUGCAUUUAGUCCCAAUAAAUUCCGCACGGUAUAUAUAUAUUCCUUUCCUUUCCAUAAUUCUUAAACAAAUUCCAAACACAGCAAGGGAGCUAGAAACUGAGAACAAAAAGAAGCAGCCUUGAAAUCCCAACUUGAAUCAAAACCGAAAGCCGAAAGCUACACAGAAAUUUCAGGCUAUCUUUACGAAAGAAUUGCUAAAAAACAAAGGAAAAAGUGUUGUUGGGAGCGUAAGUUCAAUUCUUACUCCAGAAUUUUUUGAACGAAAAGAAAAAGUCGACCGAGAAAAAACUGAACGACAAGAGAUAACGCUGCUACAACAUCAACAACAACUUGAUCACCGGCAUGCUUGUUACGAGAUGCAAAUUAUUAGUCGGGACACUACUAGCAUGAGACCUCAAGAAGCUGCAUAUUUUGAGAGUAUUAAGCAAGAAAUUCUAAAAAAGAGGGGGUUUUGAAAUAAAAAUUAGUUGUUCUUGUGUAACUUUGUCAACUUUUUUUUCAUUUGAUAAGCCAUCUUUCCCCUACACCUUUUGUUUAGAUCGAGCAUUUGAGAUUAUAUGAACACUUUCAGAUGUUUAAUCUAAAUUUUCAUUUGCGCCCAA